GUCUGCUGUGAAAGCCCUCAGCUCAACUGAGGAAGUGCAGUGGAAACUACAAAACUUGAGUACAGAAGAGGAAAGUGGAACUCCAUGUGUAGCGGUGAAAUGCGUAGAUAUAUGGAAGAACACCAGUGGCGAAGGCGGCUUUCUGGUCUGUUACUGACGCUGAGGCUCGAAAGCAUGGGUAGCGAACAGGAUUAGAUACCCUGGUAGUCCAUGCCGUAAACGAUGAAUACUAGGUGUUGGAGGGUUUCCGCCCUUCACUGCCGCAGCUAACGCAUUAAGUAUUCCGCCUGGGGAGUACGACCGCAAGGUUGAAACUCAAAGGAAUUGACGGGGGCCCGCACAAGUGGUGGAGCAUGUGGUUUAAUUCGAUGCUACGCGAAUAACCUUACCAGCUCUUGACAUCUUCUGCCAACCCAAGAGAUUGUGCGUUCCCUUCGGGGACAGAAUGACGGGUGGUGCAUGGUUGUCGUCAGCUCGUGUCGUGAGAUGUUGGGUUAAGUCCCGCAACGAGCGCAACCCUUAUUAUUAGUUGCCAGCAUUUAGUUGGGCACUCUAGUGAGACUGCCGGUGAUAAACCGGAGGAAGGUGGGGACGACCUCCAAUCAUCAUGCCCCUUAUGAGCUGGGCUACACACAUGCUACAAUGGAUGGUACAACGAGUCGCGAGACCGCGAGGUCAAGCUAAUCUCUUAAAGCCAUUCUCAGUUCGGAUUGCAGGCUGCUACUCGCCUGCAUGAAGUUGAAUCACUACUCAUCGUGGAUCACCAUGCCCGUGAUACGUUCCGGCCUUGU
rnacentral:rRNA from 2 species